UUAGAAACAGAUAGAUGGGUUGUGGA
rnacentral:sRNA from 1 species